GGGAAUAUUGCACAAUGGGCGCAAGCCUGAUGCAGCCAUGCCGCGUGUAUGAAGAAGGCCUUCGGGUUGUAAAGUACUUUCAGCAGUGAGGAAGGUAUCGUAGUUAAUAGCUGCGGUAUUUGACGUUAGCUGCAGAAGAAGCACCGGCUAACUCCGUGCCAGCAGCCGCGGUAAUACGGAGGGUGCGAGCGUUAAUCGGAAUUACUGGGCGUAAAGCGCAUGCAGGUGGUUUGUUAAGUCAGAUGUGAAAGCCCGGGGCUCAACCUCGGAAUCGCAUUUGAAACUGGCAGACUAGAGUACUGUAGAGGGGGGUAGAAUUUCAGGUGUAGCGGUGAAAUGCGUAGAGAUCUGAAGGAAUACCGGUGGCGAAGGCGGCCCCCUGGACAGAUACUGACACUCAGAUGCGAAAGCGUGGGGAGCAAACAGG
rnacentral:rRNA from 1 species